AUGUCAACUAGUUGUUGGUCUUUUUUAAAAGAUCAGUAUCCAAGCUAACGCAUUAAGUAUUCCACCUGGGAAGUACAAUCGCAAGGUUGGAACUCAAAGGAAUUGACGGGGGCCCGCACAAGCAGUGGAGCAUGUGGUUUAAUUCGACGCAACGCGAAGAACCUUACCUAGGCUUGAAACGCAUACUAAUCCUGAUGAAAGUCGGGGUGCCGCAAGGCGAGUAUGUACAGGUGCUGCAUGGCUGCCGUCAGCUCGUGCCGUGAGGUGUUGGGUUAAGUCCCGCAACGAGCGCAACCCUCGUCCUUAGUUGCCAUCAGAUAAUGCUGGGCACUCUAAGGAGACUGCCUACGCAAGUAGUGAGGAAGGUGGGGAUGACGUCAAGUCCGCAUGGCCCUUACGCCUAGGGCCACACACGUGCUACAAUGGCCAUCACAAAGGGCUGCAAUACCGCGAGGUGGAGCCAAUCCCUAAAAAAUGGUCUCAGUUCGGAUUGGAGUCUGCAACUCGACUCCAUGAAGCUGGAAUUGCUAGUAAUCGCGCAUCAGCACGGCGCGGUGAAUACGUUCCCGGGCCUUGUACACACCGCCCGUCAAGCCAUGGAAGUUGGGGGUACCCAAAGUCGCCUUUAAUAAGCGCCUAAGGUAAAACCAAUGACUGGGGCU
rnacentral:rRNA from 1 species